rnacentral:rRNA from 1 species
GACGAACGCUGGCGGCGUGCUUAACACAUGCAAGUCGAACGGAAAGGCCCCCUUGUGGGGUACUCGAGUGGCGAACGGGUGAGUAACACGUGAGUAACCUACCCUUGGCUUUGGGAUAACUUCAGGAAACUGGGGCUAAUACCGGAUAGGAGCUCCUGCUGCAUGGUGGGGGUUGGAAAGUUUCGGCGGUUGGGGAUGGACUCGCGGCUUAUCAGCUUGUUGGUGGGGUAGUGGCUCACCAAGGCUUUGACGGGUAGCCGGCCUGAGAGGGUGACCGGCCACAUUGGGACUGAGAUACGGCCCAGACUCCUACGGGAGGCAGCAGUGGGGAAUAUUGCACAAUGGGCGGAAGCCUGAUGCAGCAACGCCGCGUGCGGGAUGACGGCCUUCGGGUUGUAAACCGCUUUCGCCUGUGACGAAGCGUGAGUGACGGUAAUGGGUAAAGAAGCACCGGCUAACUACGUG